AUUAUACUCCCUCCGUUCCAAAUUACUCGUCGCAGAAAUGGAUGUAUCUAGAACUAAAAUACAUCUAGAUACAUCCAUACUUGCGACAAGUAAUUCGGAACGGAGGGAGUAUAUA
rnacentral:pre_miRNA from 1 species